rnacentral:rRNA from 1 species
AGUGAACGCUGGCGGUAGGCCUAACACAUGCAAGUCGAACGGCAGCACAGUAAGAGCUUGCUCUUACGGGUGGCGAGUGGCGGACGGGUGAGGAAUACAUCGGAAUCUACUUUUUCGUGGGGGAUAACGUAGGGAAACUUACGCUAAUACCGCAUACGACCUACGGGUGAAAGCAGGGGAUCUUCGGACCUUGCGCGAUUGAAUGAGCCGAUGUCGGAUUAGCUAGUUGGCGGGGUAGAGGCCCACCAAGGCGACGAUCCGUAGCUGGUCUGAGAGGAUGAUCAGCCACCCUGGAACUGAGACACGGUCCAGACUCCUACGGGAGGCAGCAGUGGGGAAUAUUGGACAAUGGGCGCAAGCCUGAUCCAGCCAUACCGCGUGGGUGAAGAAGGCCUUCGGGUUGUAAAGCCCUUUUGUUGGGAAAGAAAAGCAGCAGGUUAAUACCCCGCUGUUCUGACGGUACCCAAAGAAUAAGCACCGGCUAACUUCGUG